UACAGAGGUCUCAAGCGUUGUUCGGAUUCAUUGGGCGUAAAGGGUGCGUAGGCGGCGCGGUAAGUCAGUGGUGAAAUCUCCGGGCUUAACCCGGAAACUGCCAUUGAUACUAUAGGUCUUGAAUUAUCUGGAGGUCAGCGGAAUAUGUCAUGUAGCGGUGAAAUGCUUAGAUAUGACAUAGAACACCAAUUGCGAAGGCAGCUGGCUACAGGUAUAUUGACACUGAGGCACGAAAGCGUGGGGAUCAAACAGG
rnacentral:rRNA from 1 species